UAGCCAAACCAGGUAUAAUUUCCCAAUUCCAGUCCGGAUAGCGUAUAGUUUUCGCUGCAGAAUCAUAUGGCAGGCGUGUGGUGGCCUAAAUUUAGCAUGGAAAAGUGGAGAUUAAGAAAUAUUAAAGGGAGAAAGGUACACCCAGAUGAGUUGAAGCUAAUAUAGAAGAUAUUCCAGCAGAGUUGGCAAGCUCCACUCGUUCCUGGAGUGCUACCGAGUCAGAGUACAUGUGCUAUGAUGUCCGAUAAAUGUUAGAGACUUUGCAGACAGAGUCGUGGGUAUAGGAUGUCGGUAUUGUGAACGGCUCCACCAGCGUAUGUGUCAUUUUAUGUUAUGUUAUAAAGUCCAUAUGAUCACAGAUUAUAUUUGAUUUGAGUACGAUGAA